CUCAUGCCAAUCCUUAUAAGUGACAACCAUAUCCUGGAUAAGCUUCUUGAUGUUCUUGUUCGCAACUUCAACAGCCCCAUUCAUAUUGGGUCUAUAGGGAGAAGAACUAUGAUGUGCAAUCUUGAAGUCUUUGCAGAGAGCUUCCACCAUAUUGUUAUUUAAGUUCGAUCCAUUAUUAGUAAUAAUCUUACUUGGCACACCAUAACGGCAUAUGAUCUGAUUCUUGAUAAACCUUA
rnacentral:lncRNA from 1 species